rnacentral:rRNA from 1 species
CCUACGGGUGGCAGCAGUGAGGAAUAUUGGUCAAUGGACGAGAGUCUGAACCAGCCAAGUAGCGUGAAGGAUGACUGUACUUUGGGUCGUAAACCUCUUUUAUCAGGGAACAAAAUGUUCCACGUGUGGCCUUUUGUAUGUACCAUAAGAAGAAGGAUCGGCUAACUCCGUGCCAGCAGCCGCGGUAAUACGGAGGAUCCGAGCGUUAUCCGGAUUUAUUGGGUUUAAAGGGAGCGUAGGUGGAUUGUUAAGUCAGGUGUGAAAGUUUGCGGCUCAACCGUAAAAUUGCAGUUGAAACUGGCAGUCUUGAGUACAGUAGAGGUGGGCGGAAUUCGUGGUGUAGCGGUGAAAUGCUUAGAUAUCACGAAGAACUCCGAUUGCGAAGGCAGCUCACUGGACUGCAACUGACACUGAGGCUCGAAAGUGUGGGUAUCGAACAGGAUUAGAUACCCCUGUAGUC